rnacentral:rRNA from 1 species
GAAACCGCGAAAGGCUCAUUAAAUCAGUUAUGGUUCCUUAGAUCGUACACACAAUUACUUGGAUAACUGUGGUAAUUCUAGAGCUAAUACAUGCAAACAGAGCUCCGACCGGAGACGGAAGGAUCGCUUUUUUUAUAUCAAAACCAAUCGGUGAUGGGCCCGUCAUCGUACAACUUGGUGACUCUGAAUAACUUUAUGCUGAUCGCACGGUCUUGCACCGGCGACGCAUCUUUCAAAUGUCUGCCUUAUCAACUGUCGAUGGUAGGUUCUGCGCCUACCAUGGUUGUAACGGGUAACGGGGAAUCAGGGUUCGAUUCCGGAGAGGGAGCCUGAGAAACGGCUACCACAUCCAAGGAAGGCAGCAGGCGCGCAAAUUACCCACUCCCGGCACGGGGAGGUAGUGACGAAAAAUAACGAUACGGGACUCAUCCGAGGCCCCGUAAUCGGAAUGAGUACACUCUAAACCUUUUAACAAGGAUCAAUUGGAGGGCAAGUCUGGUGCCAGCAGCCGCGGUAAUUCCAGCUCCAAUAGCGUAUAUUAAAGUUGUUGCGGUUAAAAAGCUCGUAGUCGAAUUUGUGUCUU